rnacentral:misc_RNA from 1 species
GAUGAAGAACGCAGCGAAAUGCGAUAAGUAAUGUGAAUUGCAGAAUUCAGUGAAUCAUCGAAUCUUUGAACGCACCUUGCGCUCCUUGGUAUUCCGAGGAGCAUGCCUGUUUGAGUGUCAUGAAACCCUCAAACCCAAGUUUUGGAUUUCGAUCCAUGCUUGAGUUUGGAUUUGGAUGUUUGCCGGUGAUGAACCGACUCAUCUUAAAAGUAUUAGCUUGGAUCUGUCUAUAUGACUGGUUUGACUUGGCAUAAUAAGUAUUUCGCUGAGGACAUCUUCGGAUGGCCAGGACCUAGACUACUGUCUGCUAACUAAACCAUCACUUUAAGUGCAUCUUUGGAUGUUACUCAUUGUGUAACUUUGACAUCUGGCCUCAAAUCAAGUAGGACUACCCGCUGAACUUAAGCAUAUCAAUAAGCGGAGGA